GUCUACGGUCCUGUCGCCCUGAACACGCCUGAUCUCCUCUGUCUCGGAAGCUAAGCAGGGUCGGGCCUGGUUAGUACUUGGAUGGGAGACCACCUAGGAAGACCAGGUGCUGUAGGCG
rnacentral:rRNA from 1 species